rnacentral:rRNA from 1 species
CAAUAGCGUAUAUUAAAGUUGUUGCAGUUAGAACGCUCGUAGUCGGAUUUCGGGGCGGGCCGACCGGUCUGCCGAUGGGUAUGCACUGGUCGGCGCGUCCUUCCUUCCGGAGACCGUCCCUACGCUUAACUGAGCGGGGGCGGGAGACGGGACUUUUACUUUGAAAAAAUCAGAGUGUUUCAAGCAGGCAGCUCGCUCUUGCAUGGAUUAGCAUGGGAUAAUGAAAUAGGACUUUGGUGCUAUUUUGUUGGUUUCGAACACCGAAGUAAUGAUGAGAAGGGACAGUCAGGGGCACUCGUAUUCCGCCGAGAGAGGUGAAAUUCUCAGACCAGCGGAAGACGAACCACUGCGAAAGCAUUUGCCAGGGAUGUUUUCACUGA